rnacentral:rRNA from 1 species
AGAGUUUGAUCAUGGCUCAGAACGAACGCUGGCGGCAGGCUUAACACAUGCAAGUCGAGCGCCCCGCAAGGGGAGCGGCAGACGGGUGAGUAACGCGUGGGAAUCUACCUAUCUCUACGGAAUAACCCAGGGAAACUUGGACUAAUACCGUAUACGCCCUUCGGGGGAAAGAUUUAUCGGAGAUGGAUGAGCCCGCGUUGGAUUAGCUAGUUGGUGGGGUAAUGGCCCACCAAGGCGACGAUCCAUAGCUGGUCUGAGAGGAUGAUCAGCCACACUGGGACUGAGACACGGCCCAGACUCCUACGGGAGGCAGCAGUGGGGAAUAUUGGACAAUGGGCGAAAGCCUGAUCCAGCCAUGCCGCGUGAGUGAUGAAGGCCCUAGGGUUGUAAAGCUCUUUCACCGGUGAAGAUAAUGACGGUAACCGGAGAAGAAGCCCCGGCUAACUUCGUGCAGCCGCCGCGGUAAUAC